rnacentral:sRNA from 1 species
AAUGAAACGGAAACAUCACAGAGUAUCAGCAAGACGCCUGGGGGUGAAUGCUACAGACGUAAAGCCACUGAAUUCCAGGCAUCAACAACAGCAACUUGUGAUUGGCGGUGACCGGAUAUUCAGUUGCACAUCCCCACAUCAAUGCACUGCCAAUGAUGAGGAAACUGAGGCCUUGGACUAGAACAGAGGUCUCCUGACUCAGUCCAGGACUCUU